rnacentral:rRNA from 1 species
UACAGAGGUGGCAAGCGUUGUUCGGAAUUACUGGGCGUAAAGAGCGCGUAGGCGGCCAGAUAAGUCCGGUGUGAAAGUCACAGGCUCAACCUGUGAAUGCCGCUGGAAACUGUCUGGCUUGAGUCCGGAAGGGGCGAGUGGAAUUCCUGGUGUAGCGGUGAAAUGCGCAGAUAUCAGGAGGAACACCAAUGGCGAAGGCAGCUCGCUGGAACGGUAGCUGACGCUGAGGCGCGAAAGCGUGGGGAGCGAACAGG